rnacentral:rRNA from 1 species
AACGAACGCUGGCGGCAGGCUUAACACAUGCAAGUCGAACGAGAUCUUCGGAUCUAGUGGCAGACGGGUGAGGAACACGUGGGAACAUCCCUUUCAGUUCGGAAUAACGUUGGGAAACUAACGCUAAUACCGGAUACGUCCUUCGGGAGAAAGAUUUAUCGCUGAAAGAUUGGCCCGCGUCUGAUUAGCUAGUUGGUGAGGUAAUGGCUCACCAAGGCUACGAUCAGUAGCUGAUCUGAGAGGAUGAUCAGCCACAUUGGGACUGAGACACGGCCCAAACUCCUACGGGAGGCAGCAGUGGGGAAUAUUGGACAAUGGGGGCAACCCUGAUCCAGCCAUGCCGCGUGAGUGAUGAAGGCCUUCGGGUUGUAAAGCUCUUUUGGCGGGGACGAUGAUGACGGUACCCGCAGAAUAAGCCCCGGCUAACUUCGUGCCAGCCGCCGCCGUAA